rnacentral:tRNA from 1 species
GUAGGUUUGGUCUAGUGGUAAGACACCAGCCUGCCACGCUGGAAAUCGCGGGUUCGAUUCCCGCAGCCUGCA